rnacentral:rRNA from 1 species
AGCGAACGCUGGCGGCAGGCCUAACACAUGCAAGUCGAACGAACUCUUCGGAGUUAGUGGCGGACGGGUGCGUAACACGUGGGAACGUGCCUUUAGGUUCGGAAUAACUCAGGGAAACUUGUGCUAAUACCGAAUGUGCCCUUCGGGGGAAAGAUUUAUCGCCUUUAGAGCGGCCCGCGUCUGAUUAGCUAGUUGGUGAGGUAAAGGCUCACCAAGGCGACGAUCAGUAGCUGGUCUGAGAGGAUGAUCAGCCACAUUGGGACUGAGACACGGCCCAAACUCCUACGGGAGGCAGCAGUGGGGAAUAUUGCGCAAUGGGCGAAAGCCUGACGCAGCCAUGCCGCGUGAAUGAUGAAGGUCUUAGGAUUGUAAAAUUCUUUCACCGGGGACGAUAAUGACGGUACCCGGAGAAGAAGCCCCGGCUAACUUCGUG